AGUGAACGCUGGCGGCGUGCUUAACACAUGCAAGUCGAACGAGAACGGGUUAUAGCUUGCUAUAAUUGUCAGCUAGGUGGCGCACGGGUGAGUAAUGUAUAGGUAAUAUGCCUCUUACUAAGGGAUAACAAAUGGAAACGUUUGCUAAUACCUUAUACUCCUUAUUAACAGAAGUUAAUAAGGGAAAGAUUUAUUGGUAAGAGAUUAGCCUGUAUUGUAUCAGUUAGUUGGUGGGGUAAUGGCUUACCAAGACUAUGACACGUAACUGGUUUUAGAGGAUGAUCAGUCACACUGGAAAUGAAAAACGGGCCAGACUCCUACGGGAGGCAGCAGUGGGGAAUAUUGCACAAUGGACGAAAGUCUGAUGCAGCAACGCCGCGUGGAGGAUGACACAUUACGGUGCGUAAACUCCUUUUAUAUGAGAAGAUAAUGACGGUAUUAUAUGAAUAAGCACCGGCUAACUCCGUGCCAGCAGCCGCGGUAA
rnacentral:rRNA from 1 species